rnacentral:rRNA from 1 species
CCUACGGGUGGCAGCAGUGAGGAAUAUUGGUCAAUGGGAGAGAUCCUGAACCAGCCAAGCCGCGUGAGGGAAGACGGCCCUAUGGGUUGUAAACCUCUUCUGUCAGGGAACAAAGGCGGGGACGUGUCCCCGGAUGAGUGUACCUGAAGAAAAAGCAUCGGCUAACUCCGUGCCAGCGGCCGCGGUAAUACGGGGGAUGCGAGCUUUAUCCGGAUUUAUUGGGGUUAACGGGUGCGCAGGCGGUCUGUUAAGUCAGCGGUCAAAGCCCGGGGCCCAACCCCGGCCCGCCGUUGAAACUGGCAGUCUCGAGUUGGAGAGAAGGAUGCAGAAUGCGCGGUGUAGCGGUGAAAUGCAUAGAUAUCGCGCAGAACUCCGAUUGCGAAGGCAGCAUGCCGGCUCCACACUGACGCUGAGGCACGAAAGCGUGGGUAUCGAACAGGAUUAGAUACCCGGGUAGUC